rnacentral:rRNA from 1 species
AACGAACGCUGGCGGCAGGCUUAACACAUGCAAGUCGAACGCCCCGCAAGGGGAGUGGCAGACGGGUGAGUAACGCGUGGGAAUCUACCGUGCCCUACGGAACAACAGUUGGAAACUACUGCUAAUACCGUAUACGCCCUACGGGGGAAAGAUUUAUCGGGGCAUGAUGAGCCCGCGUUGGAUUAGCUAGUUGGUGGGGUAAAGGCCUACCAAGGCGACGAUCCAUAGCUGGUCUGAGAGGAUGAUCAGCCACAUUGGGACUGAGACACGGCCCAAACUCCUACGGGAGGCAGCAGUGGGGAAUAUUGGACAAUGGGCGCAAGCCUGAUCCAGCCAUGCCGCGUGAGUGAUGAAGGUCUUAGGAUUGUAAAGCUCUUUCACCGACGAAGAUAAUGACGGUAGUCGGAGAAGAAGCCCCGGCUAACUUCGUGCCAGCCGCCGCAGUAA